rnacentral:rRNA from 1 species
CGUGCCGUGAGGUGUUGGGUUCAGUCCCGCAACGAGCGCAACCCUCGCCCUUUGUUGCCAUCGGGUAAAGCCGGGCACUCUAAGGGGACUGCCAGCGACAAGUUGGAGGAAGGAGAGGAUGACGUCAAGUCAUCAUGGCCUUUAUGCCUAGGGCCACACACGUGCAACAAUGGCCGGUACAGACGGAGGCAAUGCCGAGAGGCGGAGCAAACCCGAGAAAACCGGUCCCAGUUCGGAUUGAGGUCUGCAACUCGACCUCAUGAAGUCGGAAUCGCUAGUAAUCGCAUAUCAGAACGAUGCGGUGAAUACGUUCCCGGGCCUUGUACACACCGCCCGUCACACCACGAAAGUUUGUAGUACCCGAAGUCGGUGCCUUAACCUCGCAAGAGGAGAGAGCCGCCAAGGUAUGGCCGAUGAUUGGGGUGAAGUCGUAAC